AGAGUCGUAGCUCAGUGGCAGAGCUUCUGCCUUGCAUGCACAAGGUCCCAGGUUCAAUCCCUGGUGUCUCCA